GAAGAAGAGGGAUAGACGAGAGUCACCACCAUGAAAGAUAGAGAUCAAGCCACCGCCUCCACCCACCUUAAAUCGGCGGCACCACCCGGGGAAUCCGCUUCACCUGCCAAAUUACUCUCUCUACUCCUCCACUAACUUGGCAAUUGACUGAGUAUGAUGACGGCAACCUUUUAGGGUGAGAGGUAUUUACACGAAGCAAUGGAUAUGCAUUACUGAGAGUGACUGCAGAUACUAACAUAGAGAACAAACAAUAACGAGAGUAAGAGCAACAGUGAGAGUCAGAGCAAGAGCGAGACAAAAUACAGAGAGGUUUUUUUUUAUAUAUUUUUAUAUAUAUUUGUUUGAUAUUGCUAGAGAAUGAGAAUUUUUAACAUUACUGGAGAAUUAAAAUACAUCAAAAUAUUUGAAAUUUAUUGGAAACCAACGCAACUAAGGCCACAAUGCCUCCAUUGCUCGCAAA